AUUUGGUUUUUUUGUUGCUCAGAUAUUCCCAACCAAUUGGAGUUGGUAAUCCUUGGUGUAGGCAUGCAUAUGAACAAGGCUUUAUACACACCAAGUUAUACCUGCAUCACUGCUGGGACUGCUGGGGUCAUGUUCACUGGGGUUUAUGUGCUGGUUGACAUCUAUGGCUACAGGAAGCCAACCUUGGUCAUGGAAUGGCUAGGGAUGCAUGCAUUGAUGGUCUACAUUCUAUUAGGUUGCAACAUCUUCCCUUUAUUUGCCCAAGGAUUCUACUUGAGGGAGCCUGAGAACAAUAUAUUGAAGGUCAUUGGCAUUUCCUAAACAUCAUUUAUCUCGUUCACCGCAUCAUCCUUACCUGGAAAGAAUUUCAAUCAAUGAUCACUAUCAAGGAAGAAUGUUCAAAGGAAAGUAAAGGCUAAGGAGAAGAAACCAUAUACUCCUUUCCCUCCUCAGCUACCAAGCAAGGUAAUUACUGUAGCCAUUCCUACUAUUGUUUCAAGAGG